UUCUCUUCAGAUCAUAUAAAUCUGUUGCCUUUUACUAGAGAUUUCUGUGGAGAGGA
ensembl:snRNA U5 U5 spliceosomal RNA